rnacentral:rRNA from 1 species
GCUCCUAGUACGAGAGGACCGGAGUGGACGUACCGCUGGUUUUCCAUCUGUUCUUCCAAGGGCAGAAGCUGGGUAGCCAAGUACGGGAGAGAUAACCGCUGAAAGCAUCUAAGCGGGAAACUUGCCCCAAGAUGAGACUUCCCACGGAGAGAUCCGGUAAGGACCCUGCAAGACGAGCAGGUGAAUCGGCUGGAGGUGGAAGGGCAGCGAUGUCCGAAGCUGACCAGUGCGAAUGGUCCGAGGUCUUGACCUC